rnacentral:rRNA from 1 species
AGCGAACGCUGGCGGCAGGCCUAACACAUGCAAGUCGAACGAACUCUUCGGAGUUAGUGGUGGACGGGUGAGUAACACGUGGGAACGUGCCCUUUGGUACGGAAUAACUCAGGGAAGCUUGAGCUAAUACCGUAUGUGCCCUUCGGGGGAAAGAUUUAUCGCCAUUGGAGCGGCCCGCGUCUGAUUAGCUAGUUGGUGAGGUAACGGCUCACCAAGGCGACGAUCAGUAGCUGGUCUGAGAGGAUGACCAGCCACAUUGGGACUGAGACACGGCCCAAACUCCUACGGGAGGCAGCAGUGGGGAAUCUUGCGCAAUGGGCGAAAGCCUGACGCAGCCAUGCCGCGUGGAUGAUGAAGGUCUUAGGAUCGUAAAAUCCUUUCACCGGUGAAGAUAAUGACUGUAGCCGGAGAAGAAGCCCCGGCUAACUUCGUGCCAGCAGCCGCAGUAAGAC